rnacentral:misc_RNA from 1 species
GUUCUUAAAAUCUCCCAUACACCAAGAGUUUUAUCAUGGAUGGUAAAUGUCAUUAGUGAUGGUUUGGAUGCAGUCUUCCUCAACAGAUUUGAAUCAUUGCGAGCUGAGUAUUGGCAGACUUUGUACUCUUCUGUUAGCAUGGGGGCCCCAUAUCUUAUUUUGUGUUCAGAGAGUGAUGAGCUUGCUUCAUAUCAAGUUAUUUGCAAUUUCACUCAAAGACUUCAAGAACUUGGGGGUGACGUAAAACUUGUGACGAUGAGUGGCUCUCCUCAUGUAGGUCACUAUCGGGUUUAUCCAAUUGAUUAUAAGGCUGCAGUGACUGAGCUCCUUGGCAAGGCAGCUGCAGUAUAUUCCCAAAGAACUCAACGACUUGGAGGAGAAAGAUUGGUUGUAGAAGGUACGCAUGAUGAGGUCUCUGAACCAAUUGGUGACCUGCGGAAAGCAGUUGCCAGUCCAAACAAAAGCUUCUUGGGAGUUUCUAUCCAACCGAGUGACCAUUUCUGCAUGCCCAGUUCAGUGGGUUAUUAUGAGGGUAGAGAUGUUGGUUCUUUGCAAGACGAACAUAAGGAAGGCGUGAUUCAUUUGCAUAGCCCACCAAGUAUUAAUGCUCAUGGAGUUCUUGGUCAAAUCCUUUUUGAUGUGUGCGUUCCAAAGAACGUUGAAGAUUGGGAUAUAAGGUCAUCAACAUCCUUGAGUGGUCGACAAUAUACUUCUACUCGGAGGCAUGCUCCAUUUAAUCCGAUCAAAUGUAUACGUCGUUCAAGAUUGUAAAAUCUCUCAAUGCUAUCUUAUGAAGGCUGAUAAGUAUGUGAAUAUGCGGGAUUUGUACCUGAUUUGAAGACUUGGCUUGGAAGAUAAAGAGGAAGUAACUUGUUGAAAGCUAACAUGAAAUUCCUAUAAUAAUAAAUGUGGUAGACAAAGGAACUUGAGAUAUGAAAUUUGUAAUAAUUGAUGUUUUGUGGGACAAUAAGGGUAUCGUCGCCUGCCACUACUCUGGCUGGUGUCCCCUCUUCGAACGAAAUGUAUAGUGCUGUCAAAGUUUUUGCUUGAUAUAAAGUAUGCUAAAGAUCCAUUG